rnacentral:rRNA from 1 species
UACGGAGGGUGCAAACGUUGCUCGGAAUUAUUGGGCGUAAAGCGCACGUAGGCGGUCCGCUAAGUCGGGUGUGAAAUCCCUCGGCUUAACCAAGGAAGUGCAUUCGAAACUGGCGGGCUCGAGUACUGAAGAGGGUCGCGGAAUUCCCGGUGUAGAGGUGAAAUGCGUAGAUAUCGGGAGGAACACCAGUGGCGAAGGCGGCUUCCUGGCCUGUUCUUGACGCUGAGGCGCGAAAGCUAGGGGAGCAAACGGG